rnacentral:rRNA from 1 species
AACGAACGCUGGCGGCAUGCCUAACACAUGCAAGUCGAACGAGAUCUUCGGGUCUAGUGGCGCACGGGUGCGUAACGCGUGGGAAUCCGCCCUUUGGUUCGGAAUAACAGUUGGAAACGACUGCUAAUACCGGAUGAUGACGAAAGUCCAAAGAUUUAUCGCCAGAGGAUGAGCCCGCGUAGGAUUAGCUAGUUGGUGUGGUAAAGGCGCACCAAGGCGACGAUCCUUAGCUGGUCUGAGAGGAUGAUCAGCCACACUGGGACUGAGACACGGCCCAGACUCCUACGGGAGGCAGCAGUGGGGAAUAUUGGACAAUGGGCGAAAGCCUGAUCCAGCAAUGCCGCGUGAGUGAUGAAGGCCUUAGGGUUGUAAAGCUCUUUUACCCGGGAUGAUAAUGACAGUACCGGCAGAAUAAGCUCCGGCUAACUCUGUGCCAGCCGCCGCCGUAA